AGCCACAUCCCCAGCCCCCUAAGUUGUUCUUUUCAUGCAUUUUGGUCACAGCAACAAAGAGUUGACUAAUAUAGAAAUAUAAUAAUAUGGAUGAAUUUUAGCAAUAAAAUAUGAAGCAAAAAAAUUUAAUCCCAAAAGAGAAAGUAUAGUAUGAUGCCUUUUUUGAAAGAAAAGUUUUUUUCUUUUUGUUAUUAUUUAUAUACUGUGUAAUCCAUUAGUUUAAAAUGUGCUGUUUGGGGCUGGGGAUGUGGCUCAAGCGGUAGCGUGCUCGCCUAGCGUGUAUGCGGCCCGGGUUCGAUCCUCAGCACCACAUACAAACAAAGAUGUUGUGUCCGCCGAGAACUAAGAAAAAAUAAAUAAAUAUUUUUUAAAAAAAUUAAUAAAUAAAUAAAAUAAGAUAAAAUGUGCUGUUUAGUGAAUUUUGAUAAUUGUAUAUAAUAGUAUAGCCAUGAUCACCAACAAGAUGUAGACAGUAAUUUCAUUUGCUAAAAAGAUUCCUUGUGCUCCUUUGUACUCAAUCCCCAUUCCCUGUUCCUGUUCCCAGAUAACCCUUGAUCUGCUUUCUGUCACUAUAGUUUUGUCUCUUCCAAAAUUUCAUGUUGUAGAAGACAGAGUUGAUUUAUAAUUAGACUGUAAAAUCUUCAUCUUCAGUACAAGGUCAGCUGGCUUCAUUGUUUUUUGGCCUAAAGUAAAGCAGAGAAUCAUAGUGGGAAGAAUAUGGUGGAGUAAAGCUGCUACCUCAUGGCAGCUGGGAAGCAGGGACAGAUAGAGGGGAAGGGACUGAGGACAAAAUACAGUUCCCCAAUGUCACACCCUUAAGGACCUACUCCUUUCAACUAGGUCUACUUCCUACAGUUUCUGCCAUCUCCCAGCAGUCCUUUUCAGCUAUGAAUCUAUCAAUGGUUUUUCUAUCCAUGAAGUUUUGAGUAUAUAUAUUAUGGUGAAAAGGAAAGAAUAAUUAUCACUAGAAUUGAGGAUAAUGGUUCCUAUGGGUAGGGUGAUAGGAUGAGGCUGGAGGGAACAUAAAAUGAGGUCACUUUUAAGGUUCUAGUUUUCAUGUGUGGUGCUUAUUACAUUAUUAAAAACGCUAUACAUAAAAGUAAGUUUUGUGUGAUAAAAGUGGUAAAAACACAUUGUGAGGAUUAUUAUUUGUCCAACAAUGUAUACCUGAGUCCCUCCAAAAAGAAAGAAGUGGGUUGAAAACCAAGGCCGCAGUGUAUAAUAUUUUAAAUAUGGCUUAAUGUGGGCUGUGGGACCAGCCAUAUCAAGAACCUAGGCAAUGUUGCUACAGUCUUGUUCAUGAGUUUCUUUCCCUGUGACAUACAACAGCUCAACUAUAGUGGGGGACCAAGUGUUUUGGCAGCCAUGUUUAAUACUGGAGAGAGAGUUUGAAUCUGUGGUUUUCAUCUUUUUGGGUCACAAAUCUUCAUGAGAAACUGAAAGCUUUGGCCCUUCUAGGAAAAAAAUUUAAGAUCACUACAGCAUUUUACAUGUAAUUUCAAGUGUUUGGCACUCCCUAAAUCUCAUCUAUAAACCCCUAGUUAAAAAUUUAGGGGGGCUGGGGAUGUGGUUCAAGCGGUAGCACACUCGCCUGGCAUGCGUGUGGCCUAGGUUCGAUCCUCAGCACCACAUACAAAUAAAGAUGUUGUGUCUGCCGAAAACUAAAAAAUAAAUAUUAAAAAAAUUCUCUCUCUCUCUUUCUCUCUCUCAAAAAAAAAAAAAAUAGGGAUUAGAAGAUCUCAGGAUUUGAUGGCCUUUAGUGGAAGAAUAGGGGACAAGAAGAGCCAGACACAAAAAGUGGCACAUACUUUUAAUCCAGAGACCUGGGAGGCUCAAGCAGAAUGAUUGCAACUUAGAGGCCAACUUUGGUAACUUAAUGAGGAUCAAGUCCAAACUCUGCGAUGACCCCUGGUUGUUGAUUGUUUCAUUCUCCUAUCCUCUAAUCCUUUUUUUCAGAAAUUGUAUCCAUCCCAAGUAAAACUUGCCACUGUGAUGCCUCUGA